CACUUAUCAAGAGAGACCGAGGGACAGGCCCUAUGACGUCCGGCAACCACCAGUUUUGGGAACGGUGCCACUUCCUGCAGAAUGGAUUCAUUCUGAAAGAUAAGUC
rfam:Bacillus sp. B-jedd genome assembly, contig: CONTIG000001